AAUAUUGCACAAUGGGGGAAACCCUGAUGCAGCGACGCCGCGUGAGUGAAGAAGUAUUUCGGUAGGUAAAGCAAGAUCAGCAGGGAAGAAAAGUACGGUACCUGACUAAGAAGCCCCGGCUAACUACGUACCAGCAGCCGCGGUAAUACGUAGGGGGCAAGCGUUAUCCGGACUUACUGGGUGUAAAGGGAGCGUAGGUGGAUUAUCAAGUCAGAUGUGAAAGCCCGGGGCUCAACUCCGGGAUUGCAUUUGAAACUGGUGCGCUAGAGUGCAGGAGAGGUAAGUGGAAUUCCUAGUGUAGCGGUGAAAUGCGUAGAUAUUAGGAGGAACACCAGUGGCGAAGGCGGCUUACUGGACUGUAACUGACACUGAGGCUCGAAAGCGUGGGGAGCAAACA
rnacentral:rRNA from 1 species